UUGGAGGGCAAGUCUGGUGCCAGCAGCCGCGGUAAUUCCAGCUCCAAUAGCGUAUAUUAAAGUUGUUGCAGUUAAAAAGCUCGUAGUUGAAUUUCGGGGUCAGUAGGUCGGUCGUGCCACUGGUAUGAACUGGUUUUACUGAUUCCUCCCUCUUGAAGAACUGUAAUGCCAUUAAUUUGGUGUUGCAGGGAAUCAGGACUGUUACUUUGAAAAAAUUAGAGUGUUUAAAGCAGGCUUUAGCUUGAAUACAUUAGCAUGGAAUAAUGAAAUAGGACGUUUGAUCCUAUUUUGUUGGUUUCUAGGAUUGACGUAAUGAUUAAUAGGGAUAGUUGGGGGCAUAGUAUUCAAUUGUCAGAGGUGAAAUUCUUGGAUUUAUUGAAGACUAACUACUGCGAAAGCAUUUGCCAAGGAUGUUUUCAUUAAUCAAGAACGAAAGUUAGGGGAUCGAAGACGAUCAGAUACCGUCGUAGUCUUAACCAUAAACUAUGCCGACUAGGGAUCGGAUGAUGUUAAUUUUUUAAUGACUCAUUCGGCGCCUUACGGGAAAC
rnacentral:rRNA from 1 species